AACGAGGAAUGCUGCCUGAGUUCUUUGCUAAGAGAUCCCGUUAUGGAACACCUCUUAUUGGGAUUUUGUUUUCAGCUUCUGGUGUUAUUUUGUUAUCAUGGCUCAGCUUCCAAGAGAUUGUAGCAGCAGAGAAUUUCUUGUACUGUUUUGGAAUGAUAUUGGAGUUUAUAGCGUUUGUACAGCUAAGGAUAGAAUACCCAGAUGC
rnacentral:misc_RNA from 1 species